rnacentral:lncRNA from 1 species
GGUUCUUUCAAAGGAAGCCUGCUCCGUGUCUGGGUCUGACUCCUUUGCUCAGCUGCUCACUAGGAACCUAGCUGAAACUUUGUAAGUCACUGCAAAACACAGCCAUUGAUCUUAGCAAUGGCUCAUCUAAUUGGGAGAAGAAUCAUGGGGAACUUUGGAGGGGGUUGCUUUCAGAUCCACAGUCAUUCAAUUCUUUCCUCCAGGGCUGAGAUGAAGUGAGCGUUAGAUGCUUGACAAACCACUGGUUUUAGAUCCCUAGUCAUCUAACCUCGAGGGUUCUUUCAUUUCAACAUGUAGGAACAGAUUACCAACCACAGAAGAGUUUACAACAGUGUUUGUUUAAAAGGAGUGACAGAUACUAUUUGACGAGUAAUCACUUUGCUACAUACAUAAAUACCAAAGCAUCCUGUAUACGUUACAUAUUUACAAUAAAACAAAGCUUAGAACCCUACAAAAAGUAGGGGCUAUAAAAUGAAGUCUGUUUGCCUUCUUAAGGAAAGGCUAUUUGUAUGCUUUUAAGGUGGGUACAGCCCUGGCCUAGAAGGACCUUCAUUUUAAAGCUCUUUAUUCUUAUUCCAAAGUCUAGCAACAAUCCCCAAAUGGUACAUUCUGAGAUUUUGGAGACAUGCUGAAAAAUGGUGCUCUCUAAAGCUAAAGCCGAAUGAAACCAACACCAAAUGUUUGGAAUUCACCAGCAGCAGCAGCAGCAGCCUCAACCCAGGCGCUGUAAUUAAGUUACUGAUUAGAUUAGGGGCUUCCUUAAGUCCCUCUUGGAUCAACAUUUCUCCCAAAUCUAGUCAAGACGAUUAAAAUGUAACUAAUUUAGAAUAAACUGGCCCUCUAUUUAUUAAAACGCACCACAGGUGACCUCAGGAUGAGCCCUAGAACAAUGAAGUAAAGCAAAAUUGAUAUUCCAGAGUGGAUGGCGGCCUCCAAGAGAGAGAAGAGAGCACAGUACCUUCCAAGUCAGAGAAGAGUGGAAGUGAAAGCCCGGAGGAGAUGAAGACAAAGGCGUGUGCAGGAAUGUGGAAGAUCUAUGUGUCUGGAUGGUGGAGAGCUUUUCCACAAUGUGAUUUACUGCCGGAGGAUGAGAUGCUUUGUACAGACGCAGAGGCAGCAAGGUGCAAAUGACCACGGCCUGAAACCUCUGACAGCAUGAGCUAAAUUCGAUUAUCUUCUAAAUACCACAAACUUUUCAAAUGAAAAGUCUAGGGAUUCAGCGAUGCCUCAGUCCUUACGAUCAUGUGUUGCGUGGCUUUUGCAGAGGACCUAGGUACAGUCUCCAGCACGUACAUGCAGUACCAGCAGAUGUGACACUCUCUUCUGACCAGGCAUGCAUGUGGUACAUAGACAUACAUGCAGGCAAGCCACUUAAUAUGUAUACGUAUAUGUAUAUGUAGAUAUAUAGAAAUGCAUCUAAAAGAAAAAGGGAAAAACUAUAGGGAAAUCGCAUAUUUAACCACCCAAGUUAAUUGGAGCAUGAUUCAAAUGCUCAGUUCAAUGAUGAUAUAUGUGCACUACUGAAAUCCAAAUAAAAAUAAACAUGCCAUUGGCUUGCAGAAUGCUCUGUUGUGGUCUUCAUAUCCAAUCUCCUACUCCUACAUGACACUCGAGACCAGUGCUGGUCAGCUUUCUCAAACUGGAGACUGAAUUUGCCUGCUCCAGAACCCUGACGAAGUAGAAGCCCGCAACACACAUUUCCAC